rnacentral:rRNA from 1 species
UACGCGGAAGGCAGCAGUGGGGAAUAUUGCACAAUGGGCGCAAGCCUGAUGCAGCCAUGCCGCGUGUAUGAAGAAGGCCUUCGGGUUGUAAAGUACUUUCAGUCGUGAGGAAGGUGUUAAGGUUAAUAACCUUAGCAAUUGACGUUAGCGACAGAAGAAGCACCGGCUAACUCCGUGCCAGCAGCCGCGGUAAUACGGAGGGUGCGAGCGUUAAUCGGAAUUACUGGGCGUAAAGGGCACGCAGGCGGUUAAUAAGUUGGAUGUGAAUCCCCGGGCUUAACCUGGGAAUGGCAUUCAAGACUGGUUAGCUAGAGUCUUGUAGAGGGGGUAGAAUUCCAUGUGUAGCGGUGAAAUGCGUAGAGAUGUGGAGGAAUACCGGUGGCGAAGGCGGCCCCUGGGACAAGACUGACGCUCAUGUGCGAAAGCGUGGGGAGCAAACAGGGAUUAGGAUACC